rnacentral:rRNA from 1 species
UUAAAUUGAAGAGUUUGAUCAUGGCUCAGAUUGAACGCUGGCGGCAGGCCUAACACAUGCAAGUCGAACGGUAACAGGAAGAAGCUUGCUUCUUUGCUGACGAGUGGCGGACGGGUGAGUAAUGUCUGGGAAACUGCCUGAUGGAGGGGGAUAACUACUGGAAACGGUAGCUAAUACCGCAUAACGUCGCAAGACCAAAGAGGGGGACCUUCGGGCCUCUUGCCAUCGGAUGUGCCCAGAUGGGAUUAGCUAGUAGGUGGGGUAACGGCUCACCUAGGCGACGAUCCCUAGCUGGUCUGAGAGGAUGACCAGCCACACUGGAACUGAGACACGGUCCAGAC